rnacentral:rRNA from 1 species
UGGGGAAUAUUGGACAAUGGGCGAAAGCCUGAUCCAGCCAUGCCGCGUGUGUGAAGAAGGCCUUUUGGUUGUAAAGCACUUUAAGCGAGGAGGAGGCUACUAGUACUAAUACUACUGGAUAGUGGACGUUACUCGCAGAAUAAGCACCGGCUAACUCUGUGCCAGCAGCCGCGGUAAUACAGAGGGUGCGAGCGUUAAUCGGAUUUACUGGGCGUAAAGCGUGCGUAGGCGGCUGAUUAAGUCGGAUGUGAAAUCCCUGAGCUUAACUUAGGAAUUGCAUUCGAUACUGGUCAGCUAGAGUAUGGGAGAGGAUGGUAGAAUUCCAGGUGUAGCGGUGAAAUGCGUAGAGAUCUGGAGGAAUACCGAUGGCGAAGGCAGCCAUCUGGCCUAAUACUGACGCUGAGGUACGAAAGCGUGGGGAGCAAACAGG